UUUAACGAGAGUUUGAUCCUGGCUCAGGAUGAACGCUGGCGGCGUGCUUAACACAUGCAAGUCGAGCGAAGCACUUUGCUUGGAUUUCUUCGGAAUGACGAGUUUUGUGACUGAGCGGCGGACGGGUGAGUAACGCGUGGGUAACCUGCCUCAUACAGGGGGAUAACAGUUAGAAAUGACUGCUAAUACCGCAUAAGACCACAGCACCGCAUGGUGCAGGGGUAAAAACUCCGGUGGUAUGAGAUGGACCCGCGUCUGAUUAGCUGGUUGGUGGGGUAACGGCCUACCAAGGCGACGAUCAGUAGCCGGCCUGAGAGGGCGACCGGCCACAUUGGGACUGAGACACGGCCCAAACUCCUACGGGAGGCAGCAGUGGGGAAUAUUGCACAAUGGGGGAAACCCUGAUGCAGCGACGCCGCGU
rnacentral:rRNA from 2 species